GGCUUAGAGUUUGAUCAUGGCUCAGGAUGGACGCUAGCUACAGGCUUAACACAUGCAAGUCGAGGGGCAGCAUGAUUGAAGCUUGCUUCAAUUGAUGGCGACCGGCGCACGGGUGAGUAACACGUAUCCAACCUGCCGAUGACUCUGGGAUAGCCUUUCGAAAGAAAGAUUAAUACCGGAUGGCAUAAUUCUUCCGCAUGGUAGAAUUAUUAAAGAAUUUCGGUCGUCGAUGGGGAUGCGUUCCAUUAGGUUGUUGGCGGGGUAACGGCCCACCAAGCCAUCGAUGGAUAGGGGUUCUGAGAGGAAGGUCCCCCACAUUGGAACUGAGACACGGUCCAAACUCCUACGGGAGGCAGCAGUGAGGAAUAUUGGUCAAUGGACGAGAGUCUGAACCAGCCAAGUAGCGUGAAGGAUGACUGCCCUAUGGGUUGUAAACUUCUUUUAUACGGGAAUAAAGUGCAGUAUGCAUACUGUUUUGUAUGUACCGUAUGAAUAAGGAUCGGCUAACUCCGUGCCAGCAGCCGCGGUAAUACGGAGGAUCCGAGCGUUAUCCGGAUUUAUUGGGUUUAAAGGGAGCGUAGGCGGAUGCUUAAGUCAGUUGUGAAAGUUUGCGGCUCAACCGUAAAAUUGCAGUUGAUACUGGGUGUCUUGAGUACAGUAGAGGCAGGCGGAAUUCGUGGUGUAGCGGUGAAAUGCUUAGAUAUCACGAAGAACUCCGAUUGCGAAAGGCAGCCUGCUGGACUGUAACUGACGCUGAUGCUCGAAAGUGUGGGUAUCAAACAGGAUUAGAUACCCUGGUAGUCCACACAGUAAACGAUGAAUACUCGCUGUUUGCGAUAUACAGUAAGCGGCCAAGCGAAAGCGUUAAGUAUU
rnacentral:rRNA from 1 species